ACAUGGUCGGACAUCUGGAGCGUGGAUUUUCAAGAACUUUCAAUGAUUAGAGAAAAAAGUGAUCAAUGGAGAAGUACUGAAUAUGCUAAGUAUCACAAAGUUCAAUAUCUAAUUGAUCUUUGUGAAAAAUAUGGGGUAGAACCAAAAAUCAGAACAGAGAUGGGCCAUCCACUGAAAUUGCUCGUAGUUGAUCUAAUCACUCGCCUUCAACCAACUCUAGUAGUUUUCGACAGAUCACAAAAUUUGUAGGCACCACGAC